UUGACAACACAGUCUCACUCUCUACUCGUCAAAUGUCUGACGCAUGGUCAAGUGAUCUGGCGUCACUUUUUUGACGCACUGGGUAUACCUUUGGCGUUAUUUUUCAACGUGCAGGUUAGUCCGAUAGACUUCUAUAGAACUCAGCAGCGUUUAAAUUUGACGUCUUGGUUCAGCACACCGCAACUACACUGAAUAAAUAAAAAUAAAUAAUAGGCUACAAAAAAAAUUAUAUAUGACAGAGAUCGUUUUUAUCUGGCCCUCCAACUUGUUUUUAAGGGUUUAAAUAUUCUCGCAAUCUGAUAUCAAAGUGAUCUCUGUGCCAAAGCUUAGCGCGUUCAUCAGUGGUGAGUUUAACAACACUCAACUGCAGGUAAAACAGCACUCAGCGGUGAGUUUGACCAAAGCAACGCUCAACUGCAGGGAAAACGACAUAAAAAGGUGAGUUUAACAACGCUCCAAGGCGCGUGCAAGUAAGCAGUUUAACCGUUUUCUUACAACCCAUUUCGCUUAUCGCUUAUUCAUAGUUCAUCAUCUCUAUGAAAUCACGUUCAAGAAGUCUCAUUCAGCACACAUCGCGAUACUUGCCAUCAGUUUCCAUGUGCCACAGGGUCGAUGUAAAGGAAGCAGUCAUCCCUGUGGUGUUUGUGGAGAGGUUUUCCUUCAGAAAUGGAGAAGACUGAAAGCUGCGGAGGCAGACAUUUGCAGCAGAUUGUUUGCAGAUAAUGCUGUUCAAGCUCAACAGCUCUUUUAAGAGCCAACCCUCACAAACCUUCCUAAAAACUAAAAGAGCUGUUACUGAGUCUCAGCGAAUUUUGCCAUGAUCAGCUCUUCCCAGAAGAGAAGGAAGACCAAGGAAAUGAUUUGCUCAUGAGGAAUGAAGACGGCCAUCUUAAGCCCAAACAAAGACAGAAGUCCUCUGAUGAUCUCAUCAGCCAAAUGGGGGGUUUUGACCAAGUGAUGCUCUUGAAAGGACUGAAAGAAGAGGAUGUGGUAAAUUGUCUUCAGAGAAAAACCUUCUCAAAAGGUCUUAAAACAGCUUGAAGAAUGGUCUGGGAUCUUAGGACUGAGAGAUCCUCUGGCUGAGAAAAGGCUACACCACACCAGUGCUGGAUAUCAACCACAAACUGUUUCCAGACACGAGAGAAGAAGAACACGAUGGGGAGAUGAAACCAGUUUAGAUGUGAUGAUGGGAAUCAUUAUUUUCUGGAACAGUAUCACAUGUCUUAAAUGUAUCACAUGAUCUGUAUCACAGUUGACUGGAUGGAUUAUUUUUACUUUUAAGGACAUUUCAUCACUCAUCUGUGUGAACUGAUUAAUUUAUGAUAUUAAUGAAUUUUUGAUCCUUUAUUAUUUUCCUUGAACUGUGUUUGUCUUGAAGCUACUUUAUCAACUUCAUAGUCUAUGCUUCAAUAAAAUUAAUAUGGUGAA